rnacentral:rRNA from 1 species
AGAUUGAACGCUGGCGGCAUGCCUAACACAUGCAAGUCGAACGGGAGUAGCAAUACUCUAGUGGCGGACGGGUGAGGAAUACGUAGGAAUUUGCCCUUAAGUGGGGGAUAACCCGGGGAAACCCGGAUUAAUACCGCAUGACCUCGAAAGAGCAAAGUGGGGGAUCGCAAGACCUCACGCUUUUGGAGAAGCCUACGUCGGAUUAGCUAGUUGGUGAGGUAAUGGCUCACCAAGGCGACGAUCCGUAACUGGUCUGAGAGGAUGAUCAGUCACACCGGAACUGAGACACGGUCCGAGUCCUACGGA